rnacentral:rRNA from 1 species
UAGUCCACGCCGUAAACGAUGACAACUAGCCGUUGGGGCCCUAGAGGCCUUGGUGGCGAAGCUAACGCGAUAAGUUGUCCGCCUGGGGAGUACGGCCGCAAGGUUAAAACUCAAAUGAAUUGACGGGGGCCCGCACAAGCGGUGGAGCAUGUUGUUUAAUUCGAUGCAACGCGAAGAACCUUACCACCCCUUGACAUCCUGCGAAUUUUCUAGAGAUAGAUUAGUGCCUUCGGGAACGCAGUGACAGGUGCUGCAUGGCUGUCGUCAGCUCGUGUCGUGAGAUGUUGGGUUAAGUCCCGUAACGAGCGCAACCCUUGUCCUUAUUUGCCAGCACAUUAUGGUGGGAACUCUAAGGAGACUGCCGGUGACAAACCGGGNGGAAGGUGGGGACGACGUCAAGUCAUCAUGGGCCCUUAUGGGGCAGGGGCUACACACGUGCUACAAUGGGCGAGUACAGAGGGGCUGCAAACCAGCAAUGGGCCAGCCAAUCCCUUAAAGCUCGUCGUAGUCCGGGAUCGGGA